UUGGGACACUGCUGGCCAAGAGAGAUUUCAGAGUCUUGGUGUUGCUUUUUACCGCGGUGCUGAUUGUUGUGUCCUUGUUUAUGAUGUAAAUUCAAUGAAGUCAUUUGAAAACUUGAACAACUGGAGAGAAGAGUUCUUAAUUCAGGCAAGCCCAUCUGAUCCAGAGAACUUCCCAUUUGUCGUGCUGGGGAACAAAGUUGAUGUUGAUGGUGGAAAUAGUAGAGUGGUGUCUGAGAAAAAGGCUCGGGCCUGGUGCGCUUCAAAGGGUAACAUUCCCUACUUUGAAACUUCAGCUAAGGAAGGAACCAACGUAGAGGAGGCUUUCCAAUGCAUUGCUAAAAAUGCCCUGAAGAGUGGAGAGGAGGAAGAAAUAUAUUUGCCCGAUACCAUUGAUGUUGCCGCUAGCAGUCAGCAGAGGACAGGUGGAUGUGAGUGUUAGACAGUUAACAAUUUUCCAAGUGAUGAUAAAUCUUGCAGCUCCAAAAAAAAUUGGAUUCCUUUAGCCCUCGCUUUUAUUGUUUGCUUCUCAUGGUGUUCUUUUUCUGGCAAAUUCUCAAGUUGUACCUGUAUAUGCUUUUGCACGGGGCAUCUGGUUGGUUUCUUGGUGCUUGAAUUCUGUUGGUACUACUUUCACUUUGACAAAACUUCAAGAUUUGUUGGAUUUGUAUUCGCCUCUCUGGUGAAAGCUCUUGCUUUACAAUAAUCUUCUCAGUUGAUUUGUUUUACCUCACAAACUAUGAGCUUCAG
rnacentral:misc_RNA from 1 species